AAAUAUUAGUUCAUUUCAAUUCCUGCUUCUGUGUAUCUGUUGCGUUUACAUCUCUCUCCUCGGUAUCAUAGGUAAUGUAAUCCAGUAUUUCGAGGUCAGUUAUGCACAUUACAGUUGUUUAUUGCAUAAAAAGUUAUCGAAAAAUGAAGUUAAGGGCGAAGUAUAAAUCACGUCUAAAAAUAGACUGAAUCCCGACGUUGAAAUGAAGUAUAAACUUAGACUAGACGUCUAAUAUACGUCUUUUGCUCAGUGGGAUGACAAAGCAUGUGGACAUUUGUGUGACACGCCACUUACCCUAUAAUAAUAAUCGCCACCACCCGCUGCUCAAACGGUGUGAGGGUCUCCUCCCCCGGACCCCCACCUGUCUGGCCGGUACUCCUCCGGAGGGCAGCUGUACGCCGCUUGACCUCCACCUUGAGGUCCGACCACUUUUUUUUUAAUCUCCGCGGGGGUGCGUGUCUCGGAACCCACCGCAUUCACCCUCUCGCAAACUUUCUCCCACUCCAAG